rnacentral:rRNA from 1 species
GAUGAACGCUAGCGGCAGGCCUAACACAUGCAAGUCGAGGGGCAGCACGAUGUAGCAAUACAUUGGUGGCGACCGGCGCACGGGUGCGUAACACGUAUGCAACCUACCCAUAAGCGGGGAAUAACCCGGAGAAAUCCGGACUAAUACCGCAUAGUACGUUUGAGUGGCAUCACUUAAACUUUAAAGAUUUAUCACUUAUGGAUGGGCAUGCGCAUGAUUAGAUAGUAGGCGGGGUAACGGCCCACCAAGUCAAUGAUCUUUAGGGGUCCUGAGAGGGAGAUCCCCCACACUGGUACUGAGACACGGACCAGACUCCUACGGGAGGCAGCAGUGAGGAAUAUUGGACAAUGGGUGAAAGCCUGAUCCAGCCAUCCCGCGUGAAGGAUGACGGUCCUAUGGAUUGUAAACUUCUUUUGAUAGGGAUAAACCUAGAUACGUGUAUCUAGCUGAAGGUACUAUACGAAUAAGCACCGGCUAACUCCGUGCCAGC